rnacentral:rRNA from 1 species
UAGGGAAUCUUCCGCAAUGGACGCAAGUCUGACGGAGCAACGCCGCGUGAGUGAAGAAGGAUUUCGGUUCGUAAAACUCUGUUGUUAGAGAAGAACAGCGCAUAGAGUAACUGUUAUGCGUGUGACGGUAUCUAACCAGAAAGCCACGGCUAACUACGUGCCAGCAGCCGCGGUAAUACGUAGGUGGCAAGCGUUGUCCGGAUUUAUUGGGCGUAAAGCGAGCGCAGGCGGUCAAUUAAGUCUGAUGUGAAAGCCCCCGGCUCAACCGGGGAGGGUCAUUGGAAACUGGUUGACUUGAGUGCAGAAGAGGAGAGUGGAAUUCCAUGUGUAGCGGUGAAAUGCGUAGAUAUAUGGAAGAACACCAGUGGCGAAGGCGACUCUCUGGUCUGUAAAUGACGCUGAGGCUCGAAAGCGUGGGUAGCAAACAGG